rfam:Cavia porcellus supercont2_15 genomic scaffold, whole genome shotgun sequence.
GUCUACGGCCAUACCACUCUGAACACGCCCGAUCUCGUCUGAUCUCGGAAGCUAAGCAGGGUCGGGCCUGGUUAGUACUUGGAUGGGAGAAAUCACUGAAGUUACGCGGUGUGUUUAUG